rnacentral:rRNA from 1 species
GACGAACCCUUGCGGCGUGCUUAACACAUGCAAGUCGAACGGAAAGGCCCUGCUUUUGUGGGGUGCUCGAGUGGCGAACGGGUGAGUAACACGUGAGUAACCUGCCCUUGACUUUGGGAUAACCUCAGGAAACUGGGGCUAAUACCGGAUAGGAGCUCCUGCUGCAUGGUGGGGGUUGGAAAGUUUCGGCGGUUGGGGAUGGACUCGCGGCUUAUCAGCUUGUUGGUGGGGUAGUGGCUUACCAAGGCUUUGACGGGUAGCCGGCCUGAGAGGGUGACCGGCCACAUUGGGACUGAGAUACGGCCCAGACUCCUACGGGAGGCAGCAGUGGGGAAUAUUGCACAAUGGGCGGAAGCCUGAUGCAGCAACGCCGCGUGCGGGAUGACGGCCUUCGGGUUGUAAACCGCUUUCGCCUGUGACGAAGCGUGAGUGACGGUAAUGGGUAAAGAAGCACCGGCUAACUACGUGCCAGCAGCCGCGGUGAUACGUAGGGUGCGAGCGUUGUCCGGAUUUAUUGGGCGUAAAGGGCUCGUAGGUGGUUGAUCGCGUCGGAAGUGUAAUCUUGGGGCUUAACCCUGAGCGUGCUUUCGAUACGGGUUGACUUGAGGAAGGUAGGGGAGAAUGGAAUUCCUGGUGGAGCGGUGGAAUGCGCAGAUAUCAGGAGGAACACCAGUGGCGAAGGCGGUUCUCUGGGCCUUUCCUGACGCUGAGGAGCGAAAGCGUGGGGAGCGAACAGGCUUAGAUACCCUGGUAGUCCACGCUGUAAACGGUGGGUACUAGGUGUGGGGUCCAUUCCACGGGUUCCGUGCCGUAGCUAACGCUUUAAGUACCCCGCCUGGGGAGUACGGCCGCAAGGCUAAAACUCAAAGGAAUUGACGGGGCCCCGCACAAGCGGCGGAGCAUGCGGAUUAAUUCGAUGCAACGCGUAGAACCUUACCUGGGUUUGACAUGGAUCGGGAGUGCUCAGAGAUGGGUGUGCCUCUUUUGGGGUCGGUUCACAGGUGGUGCAUGGCUGUCGUCAGCUCGUGUCGUGAGAUGUUGGGUUAAGUCCCGCAACGAGCGCAACCCUUGUUCACUGUUGCCAGCACGUUAUGGUGGGGACUCAGUGGAGACCGCCGGGGUCAACUCGGAGGAAGGUGGGGAUGACGUCAAGUCAUCAUGCCCCUUAUGUCCAGGGCUUCACGCAUGCUACAAUGGCUGGUACAGAGAGUGGCGAGCCUGUGAGGGUGAGCGAAUCUCGGAAAGCCGGUCUCAGUUCGGAUUGGGGUCUGCAACUCGACCUCAUGAAGUCGGAGUCGCUAGUAAUCGCAGAUCAGCAACGCUGCGGUGAAUACGUUCCCGGGGCU